GAGGGGGAGCUUGGCUGGAUGUGAGGCAGAAGAAGCAGGCCUCCAGGUCCCAGGGUCAGGACUAGGGUGCAGGUUGGCCCUGAACCCCAGCAGGUGGUAUCUGCCAGUCCAAAGUCUGUGAGCACCCCACCAAAAGGAGGUGUCUCCAGCAGGCUGUUAACCUUGGAUCACACAGACUCAGAAGGCAACAGCUGCUUGCCUUGCCUGAAAAUGCCUUGUGAUGGUGACUCCAGGACACAGCAAGUCCCUUCAAGGAGCACGUUGGUUAACAGCUGCUGCCGAAGCCUGUCCACUCUGCCCACCUCAGCACUCCCCUAAGAGCCCCAGGCCUCCCCGCAUCCAGCAACUAAGAGAUCGAUACAUGACGCUGCC
rnacentral:lncRNA from 1 species